rnacentral:rRNA from 1 species
CAACUUUCAACGGAUGAUCUCUUUGCUCCUGCAUCGAUGAAGACAGCAGCGAAAUAUAAUAAGUAAUGUGAACAGCAGAAUCCAGUUCAUCAUCUAAUCUUUGAACGCACCCUGCGUCCGGUAGUAUUCCGGGCAUGAUGCCUGUAUGAGAGUC